rnacentral:rRNA from 1 species
GACAGAGGAUGCAAGCGUUAUCCGGAAUGAUUGGGCGUAAAGCGUCUGUAGGUGGCUUUUCAAGUCCGCCGUCAAAUCCCAGGGCUCAACCCUGGACAGGCGGUGGAAACUACCAAGCUGGAGUACGGUAGGGGCAGAGGGAAUUUCGGUGGAGCGGUGAAAUGCAUUGAGAUCGGAAGAACACCAACGGCGAAAGCAGCUCGUAGG